CCUUUGGCCAGACAAAGAGCGAGAACUGCAAUGCGUGCAUCUGCACCGCCAGCGGCGAGUGGGCCUGCGCCGGGAUGAAGUGGCGCGCCAAGAGAGAUAUUAGCUGUGAACCAGGCGUGGAAUUCAUGGAUCAGUGUAACUCCUGCAAAUGCGGACCAGAUGGGUUGUCAGCCUCAUGUACCGCCAACGCCUGCAAUAACUAUUAGACAACAGGGUUCCUUCCAGUAUCAGCCAACUGGUGACGAAAUUCCUCAUGUUAUAAUACUUUUGAUGGCUGAAAAAUACUAAUAUCUCCAGACGUUCUUGAGGCAGUCCAAGGACAACAUACGGCUUCCUAGUGUUCCA